AGGAGCUGACCAGCAAGAAAAGGCUGGGAAAACAUGAGCGCUCGGAGGAGAAACAAGAUGGCGGCCACCAGCGAAGGAAGCCGGCUGAACCCAGAAAGGAAUUCAGGUAGAGAUCAAGCCAGAGAAGCAAAAAAUCACCUGAAAACCUACGGAUUUCAAGAAAGCAGGAAGCAAGAAUCCAGAGGCCAUAUGAGAAAGAAGAGGAGAUAUUUUAUGUGAGUGAAUCUAAGGAAAUUUUCUUAGCCUCCAUCAGGAGCCGGGCAGGGCUGUACGAGAAGGACUAACCCUAGUGAAUAAUUAAGUAUUUGCUCAAGAGCAGAUAUUUCUAAUCUGGAAGCUUAAGGAAGACAGAAAUGGGUGCAUUACCAAGACUCCUAGCAAGGGAGUAAGCUGUCCUGCAACGUAGGGAGGCAAUGGACUCUCUGUGGAAAAGGAUCUUGGUUUCCAGUUCACGAGUGGGGCUAAGAGAAGUCACUCUAGCCUUCAACUGCAUCUGACAAAAUGAAUCAGCCCCCGAAUUCCAUGCCAGACAGUUCAGCUGACAGAAGGAACUGAAUGUGACCUAGUCUGCUUGCUAUUUCUAGGGAAAUGGAGUCAGAAUUUUUAGAGUACAGAGAAGAGAACCUUCACCUGUUAAAGUAUUUUGCACGGGAGAGAAACCCUUCAUUGUGUGACUAAAUCAAUGGAGAUUAUCUUCUCAGUUGGAAUUUCCCUUUGUCUGCACGUGUAUUCCGCCAACAUCUGCUCCUACCUUCACUGUAGUCGAUGAGUUCUCAAGUGAAGGACUGGAUUCAAGGUAAUGCUGAAUCCUAGACAGAGGCUACUCUGUAGAUACUGAUUUCAUGGCCUUUGACUCAAUCUGAGGUCAGUCAUUGACCCGCACAUCGCGCUCAAUGCCAUGGAUUGACAUGAGCUCCUGGUGGUGUGGUUCUCACUAGCUUGAAUUUUGUGAAGCUUAGGUUCUAAUACAAACCUGCUCUUGGGUCAGAUUUUUUCAGGAUUGUUUUCAAUAGGACUCACCUGUGGUCUGACUGGCUAACACACUGUGAUGUGUCAUGGGAAGUCACAUGUGGGUUUAUACUAAGGAUGAGUCCUCACAUGUGGCCCAAAGGCACAGCUCUUGUGGGACAGCAAAGGAAAACAGAAUCAUAGAAAUUCAGAGCUGGAAGAUGACUUAGCCUCUGAGGAAAAUCAUGCCCAGGGACAGUGCGCUUUUUUUUUUUUUUUUGGUAACUUUUUAUUUUGUAUUGGGGUAUGCUGCUGCUGCUGCUGCUAAGUCGCUUCAGUCGUGUCUGACUCUGUGCGACCCCGUAGACAGCAGCCCACCAGGCUUCCCCAUCCCUGGGAUUCUCCAGGCAAGAACACUGGAGUGGGUUGCCAUUUCCUUCUCCAAUGCAUGAAAGUGAAAAGUCAAAGUGAAGUCACUCAGUCAUGUCCAACUCUUCGCAACGCCAUGGACUGCAGCCCACCAGGCUCCUCCAUCCAUGGGAUUUUCCAGGCAAGAGUACUGGAGCGGGGUGCCAUUGUCUUCUCCGUGUAUUGGGAUAUAGCCGAUUACAAUGUUGUGAUAGUUUCAGGUGAAUAGCAGAGGAGCUCAGCCAUACACGUACAUGUAUCCCAUGGAAUUUUCCAGGCAAGAAUACCAGAGUGGGUUGCCAUUUCCUUCUCCAGGGGAUUGUCCCCACCCAGGGAUCGAACUUGUGUAUCCUGCAUUGGCAGGAGGAUUCUUUACCACUAGUCCCCGCUGGGAAGGAUUCUUCACCACUGAGCCACCAGGGAAGCCCUGUGAGUAUUGAAUCUUAUGGAACUGGAACUCUGAGAGGUUAGACUUCGUGUAUGAACCCACAGGAGGGGCACACACACGUGCUUAGGAGGUCUGGUGGGCAGCUUGAAGGAGUGAAGCCAGCCAGCGGGCAGGAGUGAGGUUACCUCCACAGGCUUCUUUGCAACAAGGGCCUCGGGGUGACUGGUCAACAUGAUGAUCUUCUGCCAGUUCAAAGUUCAAGCGGACAGAGUCUGGGUGUUGCCCGUUUCAUGUCUUGGCCAGAUUCUUCACCCGCUGAUGUAAGAACCAGGCCAUCCUUCUGGGGGACGUUCUGGUGAUAGUUUCUUCUUUGUUAUUUUUUCAAAAGAAGCCAGAAAUCUGAGUUUUACAUGAAAUCUUCCAAUUUUUAAAUGCUAGUAGUUAACUCCAGUGGUGGAAUUUCUUUGGGGAGAGGGAGUGGAAUCAUGUCAUCCGUGGGCUGAAUGUGGCCCUCAGCUUGCUCUUUUGAGACCUCUUUUCAUUUGAAGAAGGGUGAGACAGCAAAAGCAGAGCAGGCACCCCCCAAAUCAUUAAGUGGAUGAGAUGUGUUGGAAUUGAGGAAGUGGAGAAUUUUU
ensembl:lncRNA